GAUGAACGCUGGCGGCGUGCCUAAUACAUGCAAGUCGAACGAAACUUCUUUAUCACCGAGUGCUUGCACUCACCGAUAAAGGGUUGAGUGGCGAACGGGUGAGUAACACGUGGGCAACCUGCCCAAAAGAGGGGGAUAACACUUGGAAACAGGUGCUAAUACCCGAUAACCAUAGUUACCGCAUGGUAACUAUGUAAAAGGUGGCAAUACUACCGCGUUUGGAUGGGCCCGCGGCGCAUUAGCUAGUUGGUCGGGUAAAGGCUUACCAAGGCAAUGAUGCGUAGCCGAAUUGAGAGGUUGAUCGGCCACAUUGGGACUGAGACACGGCCCAAACUCCUACGGGAGGCAGCAGUAGGGAAUCUUCCACAAUGGGCGAAAGCCUGAUGGAGCAACGCCGCGUGGGUGAAGAAGGUCUUCGGAUCGUAAAACCCUGUUGUUAGGGAAGAAAGUGCGUGGGAGUAACUGUUCACGUUUCGACGGUAUCUAACCAGAAAGCCCCGGCUAACUACGUG
rnacentral:rRNA from 1 species